CUACACGCAUGUCAUCUAAGCCCAGCCUGUCUAGGGUCCCCUCUGUGUCUCUCAGUGAUGGUGCAGCAGAGUCAGUCUCUAUGGAAGUCAUCUCUAAUGUGGAGGAUAUUUAUACAGCACCAUCAGUGGAGCAGAUUGUGUCUUCAACUGCUGCUGUGGUCGGCAUUUCACCAGCAGCGUCUGCUAGAUGUUCCUCAAAUGACAUGUCUGGAAGAACUUGUUUCGAAGCAGCAGUAGUGGGAGCAGAGAUACCAGAGAAACACACCUCUCCAAAAGUUUCUCCACAGACAUCUUUAAUGUCAGGUAAAGUAAUUCAUGAUUUAUUAAAUACAUUAAGAUUGCUGCGUUAAUAAGGUCCAUAUCACCUUUUCGGUAAAAGUGGGAAGUUUAAAAUAUUGUUCUAAUUUUUACUUUGUCGCCCCAUCUCUAGCUCAUGUUGGUGAAUCUAUGAGAGGUACAGACAUUUCACCUAAAUCUAGUCUGGACAGGAUUUCCUCUAUUGGUGAAAGAGCAGCAGAAUCAGCUUCUAGAGAAGUGAUGUAUAUGGAGGAGAUGUAUAAAGCAUCAAUGGCAGAACUACCAGGGCCUCCAGCUGCUGUUGGAGGUAUUUCACAAACAGUGUCUGCUAGAUGUUCACAAGGUGACAUGGCAGAAAGAGCCCCCUCUGAAACAGUAGUAGGGAGAGACACAUCUUCCAGAGUUUCUCCUAGGGUUUCUCCACAAACAUCUGUGAGCUCAGGUAAAGUGUUAAACUAUCUUGAAUGAAAUAUAAGGUUGUUAUGUCAGUAUUAUGGGCAAAAUGAAUUGUGAAAUACCACAGAAUACUUCAAUCUGGUCUGUCUUUUCACAACUCAUGUUGAUGUUACUCCAACAGCUACAGGCUUGUCAUCUAAGUUCAGUCUUGCCAGGGUUCCCUCUGUGUCUCUCAGGGAUGGUGCAACCGAACCAGCUCAGAUAGACAACGAAACACUGUCAAUGGAGGAGCUUAUGACGUCUCCAUUGUAUUCUCAUUGGUCACCAGCCGGUUCUGAAAGUGACUUAUUAGGCUUAAAAGGAGCUCCCUCUGAAACAGCAGUGGAUGGAGCACACAGAGGGUUCUUGGUAACGAUACCCAGUAGAGAGGAGAGUGUGAUGAGAACAGCAGAGACACCAGAGAGAGACACAUCUCCCAGUGUUUCUCCACAGACUUCGUUUACAGGUGUUGUUUCUGAUGUGACAGUUUUCUACAGAGAUUCAUCUGUGGGAGAAUUGCAUCUUUCUCCAUCUGUUGGUGAGGAACUUGUGGUGGAGGCUUACGAAUUACCAUCACUGGAGAAGAAGGAGACUCCAUCUACUUCAGUUGGUAGACUUUCACCAGUAGUGUCUGCAAGAUAUACUGGAAGUGGUUUAACAAGAAGAGCUUUCUCUGAAAAAGAAGUAACGAGACCAGAGACACCAGAUAGACACAUGUCUCCCAGACUUUCUCCUAGAGUUUCUCCACAGUCCAGUCUGACCAGGAUUUCCUCUGCACCAACAAUGGAGGAGCCACGGAUGUCUCCAACUGCUUCUGUUGGUAGACUUUCACCAGCAGUGUCUUCUGUAAGAUAUUCCGGAAGGGGUUUAUCAGGAAGACCUUUCUCUGAAACAGAACUAGUGGAUGCAGCACACAGAGUGUCCUCAGUCAGGAUACCCAGUAGAGAGGAGAGUGUGAGGAGAACAGCAGAGACACCAGAGAGACACACAUCUCCCAGAGUGUUUCCUAGAUCUUCGCAAAGAGUUUCUCCACAAACCUCUCUCAUAUCAGCUCAUGUUGGUGAAUCUCUGUCCGGUACAGAUAUUUCCCCACAAUUCAGUCUGCCUAGGAUUCCCUUUGCGCCAUCAAUGGACAGACCCACAUCUCCCAUCAUUUCUCAAAGAGUUUCUCUACAAUCCAGUCUGUCCAGAAUUCCAUCUGCACCAUCAAUGGAGGAGCUACUGGUUUCUCCAUCUACUUCUGUUGGAAGAAUGUCACCAGCAGUUUCAAGAAGAUCUUCAAAAAGUAGUUUAUCAGAAAGAGCUCCUUCUGAAACAAUCAUAAGAUAUUCUGAAAGCUGUUUAUCAGGAAGAGCUUUCUCUGAAACAAAACUAGUGGAUGCAGCACACAGAGUGUCCUCAGUCAGGAUACCCAGUAGAGAGGAGAGUGUGAGGAGAACAGCAGAGAUACCAGAGAGACACUUAUCUCCCAGAGUUUCUCCUAGAAUGUCUCCCAGAACUUCUCCUCAAUCCAGUCUGGCCAGGAUUCCAUCGGCACCAUCAAUGGAGGAGCCACUGGUGUCUUCAACUGCUUCUGUUUGCAGGAUUCCUCCUGCAGCAACAGUGGAAGCAGCACACAGAGAAGAGAGUGUAGCGAGAACAGCAGAGGCACCAGAGAGUCACACAACUCACAGAGUUUCUUUCAGAAUAUAUCCACAGACAUCUAAGACAAGCGUCCUUUCUGAUGUGGCAGUUUUGUACAGCCCAUCCAUGACCGCAGGGUUUCGUCUUGAGGUUUUAGACAUGGAGUGUGACCAGGUGUAUACGUCAGUGAGUGACAUCACAGCAAAAGUUCCCUCUGACACUGCUGCAAUGAAGACAAUACACAGAGAGUCCUCAGGGAGGAUACCCAGUAGAGAGGAGAUUGUGAGGAGAACAGCAGAAACGCAAACAUCUCAUGCAUCAGGUAAAUAUCAACUUUCUGAAAUAUUAUUAACAGAAACCAGACUAUUUUCUAAACAUUUUUCUUCCUAAUCGCAUAGGAGUAUUGGACAACAGCACACAGGUUUCACAAACUGCAAUCCGCCUUUGUGAAAAGGUGAGUGCCUACCCUAUAGAAGUGCAGCAGGGGACCCUGGGACUUGAAGUUUAUCUAGGAGCUUCUCCAGCCAAUGUUGUUGGGCCUCAAAACAAUAGAACUCAAAACACACGUUCACAGGGUGUGCAGACUAGUCCAGGUAAAUUUAUCCUCAGAAUACAAUAAUUCAUCUUUAAUAAUUGUUCAAUCAUAUUUUGUGUGCAUUGAAGAUAUUAGGGGAUUUUUUACCCCUCCAAUAUAUUUGUGGAAAUGAGAAUGUUCACUUUUGAUGUUGCAUUCGAUUCUCAUAUUAGAUCAUCAUGGCGAGCCCUCACAGAGCUUUCCUAUUGGAGCAGGACGCGUCACUCCUCAUGCUCAGCCUGCCCUCGAGAAUUACACCAAUCAGGUCUGGACACUCUACCACUUGGCCAAUGAGACAGAGGAGGGCACACUGUCCGCUAAAGUUAUCUCCCAGCCUCCGUACAAUGGUAGUGCUUAUAUUCGCAACUUUGGGGCUGGACAUGUGUUACUGGCUGAGAGGUCCCCUUCCCCUCAGAAAUCUGACGCCCAGUCCUGGAGUGGCCAACCCAAACAGCCCCAGCCACCACCCUUCCUAAUGAGCCCAAGAAGGGCCUUCACACACAGGGCACAGUCCUCCACCCUCCACCCUCCUCCUCUACCCCAGCCUCCAACCGUCCACAACCAGGAGAUCAGCAUCCCCAACUUCUUCAUGCAUCCCCAACUUCUUCCUGUGUCCCCAGGCAAGAUCGUUCGUAGCAUUCCGACCGCGAUGCAGACCAGGUCGAGGUCUGCUGUGGUCCGGCCAGGUGACCCCCCGGGGUACCUGUCAUUCUCCGUUCCCAUGGAGACGGUGAGCGGAGGUUCUGGUCAGGACGGUCAGGCCCAGUUCCUUCAGGUCAUCAGUGCCGAGGGGAACACUGUUUACUCUCCCGCUCUCAUAAACAUUUUCACCACAGAGGAAGAGGACCAGGAAGGAGCCAGGAGGCGGCCAACUAGUGCCCCAUUUAAUUGGUAGGGGACUGUUGUCUAGUUUAGGGUUUCCCAAACUCUGUCCUGCCCCCCCCCCCGGGCAAAACUGAGUUUGGGAAAGCCUGGUCUAGUGAGUAUCAAUAAAUACAUUUGCAUAUUAUAACAAAUGUUCUCCCUCUCAUGUAUUAAAC
ensembl:lncRNA mucin-12-like